UAACACAUGCAAGUCGAACGGCAGCGCGGGGAGCUUGCUCCCUGGCGGCGAGUGGCGGACGGGUGAGUAAUGCGUAGGAAUCUGCCUUCUAGCUUGGGACAACCUGGGGAAACCCAGGCUAAUACCAAAUGUGCCCUACGGGGUAAAGCAUGGGAUCUUCGGACCUGCACUAGAAGAUGAGCCUACGUUGGAUUAGCUUGUUGGUGGGGUAAAGGCCUACCAAGGCUACGAUCCAUAGCUGGUCUGAGAGGAUGAUCAGCCACACUGGGACUGAGACACGGCCCAGACUCCUACGGGAGGCAGCAGUGGGGAAUAUUGGACAAUGGGGGAAACCCUGAUCCAGCAAUGCCGCGUGUGUGAAGAAGGCCUGCGGGUUGUAAAGCACUUUCAGUAGUGAGGAAGGCUGUAGCGUUAAUAGCGCUGCAGAUUGACGUUAGCUACAGAAGAAGCACCGGCUAACUCUGUGCCAGCAGCCGCGGUAAUACAGAGGGUGCGAGCGUUAAUCGGAAUUACUGGGCGUAAAGGGUGCGUAGGUGGUUAGAUAAGUUAGGUGUGAAAUCCCUG
rnacentral:rRNA from 1 species